UGGUUACCAUGUAAGAGCAGU
rnacentral:misc_RNA from 1 species